AUGAAUAACAACACCGUGACAGAAUUCAUUCUGUUAGGAUUAACACAGGAUCCAGAAAAACAGAAGGCAAUAUUUGGAAUCUUCUUGAUUCUUUACCUUAUGACAUUAUUGGGGAAUUUUCUCAUUGUGAUAACCAUUAAGAUGAGUCAUACACUUGGAAGUCCCAUCUACUUUUUCCUCUUCUAUUUGUCUUUUGCUGACGCUUGCUUCUCUACGACUACAGCACCUAGCUUGAUCUUCGACUCCCUCACCCAGAAAAAAAUUAUUACCUACAAUGAAUGUAUGACUCAAGUCUAUGCACUUCACUUCUUUGGGUGCAUGGAGAUCUGUGUGCUUAUCCUCAUGGCCUUUGACCGCUAUGUAGCAAUCUGUAAGCCUCUAAGGUACACAACUAUAAUGAGCCAACGUAUCUGUGGUUUACUAGUGGUUCUUGCCUGGGUAGGGUCUUGUAUUCACUCUACAGCACAGAUUAUCUUGGCCUUAAGAUUACCAUUCUGAGGCCUGAAUAUAAUUGAUCACUAUUUCUGUGAUUUACAGCCCUUGCUGAAACUUGCCUGCAUGGAUACCUAUGUGAUAAAUUUGCUAGUUGUGUCUAAUAAUGGUGCCAUAUGCACAGUAAGUUUCAUAGUACUGCUUAUCUCCUAUAUUGUAAUCUUAUACUCUCUGAGAAACCACAGUGCAGAAGGAAGACCAAACGCCUUGUCUACAUGCACUUCUCAUUUCAUUGUGGUGGUUCUAUUUUUUGGUCCCUGUAUAUUCAUAUACACUCGCCCACCAACCACUUUUCCAAUAGAUAAGAUGGUAUCUGUGUUUUAUACAAUUGGGACACCUUUGCUCAACCCUCUUAUUUAUACUCUAAGAAAUGCUGAAGUAAAAACUGCCAUGAAAAAAUUAUGGUGUGGUAAAGUAUGA
rnacentral:lncRNA from 1 species